GAUCAAUAUGAAUUCACUUUGUGUGACUUGAACUAUUGAUUGGAUCGGGCAGAUGGAUGACUUUUUCAUAUCUGCCACAUUUUAAUUUGCAAUAAAAUGUGUCUCUUUGUUUCAACCACCGCGCAAGCCCCCCUACA